AUUGAACGCUGGCGGCAUGCUUUACACAUGCAAGUCGAACGGUAACAGGCCGCAAGGUGCUGACGAGUGGCGAACGGGUGAGUAAUGCAUCGGAACGUGCCCAGUCGUGGGGGAUAACGCAGCGAAAGCUGCGCUAAUACCGCAUACGAUCUAUGGAUGAAAGCGGGGGACCGUAAGGCCUCGCGCGAUUGGAGCGGCCGAUGUCAGAUUAGGUAGUUGGUGAGGUAAAGGCUCACCAAGCCGACGAUCUGUAGCUGGUCUGAGAGGACGACCAGCCACACUGGGACUGAGACACGGCCCAGACUCCUACGGGAGGCAGCAGUGGGGAAUUUUGGACAAUGGGCGCAAGCCUGAUCCAGCAAUGCCGCGUGCAGGAUGAAGGCCUUCGGGUUGUAAACUGCUUUUGUACGGAGCGAAACGGCUUCCACUAAUACUGGGAGCUAAUGACGGUACCGUAAGAAUAAGCACCGGCUAACUACGUGCCAGCCGCCGCCGUAAGAC
rnacentral:rRNA from 1 species